UACGUAGGCAGCAAGCGUUGUUCGGAAUUACUGGGCGUAAAGAGUGUGUAGGCGGUGCUCUAAGUUCGGUGUGAAAUCUCCUGGCUUAACUGGGAGGGUGCGCCGGAAACUGGAAUGCUUGAGCGUGGGAGAGGAAAGCGGAAUUCCUGGUGUAGCGGUGAAAUGCGUAGAUAUCAGGAGGAACACCUGCGGUGUAGACGGCUUUCUGGACCAUUGCUGACGCUGAGACACGAAAGCGUGGGUAGCAAACAGG
rnacentral:rRNA from 1 species